CUGGUAUUCUGGGGAAAAUGGGAUGAAGAGAGCAAGGAGCAGGGGCCACUCUGUUAAGGACCAGGAAGAUUGUCUCUGGCACAAGUAAAAUCCAGAAUACCUGGGCACAGUGAAGAAAGCUGCAGGUGGAAGAGAGAAAGGUGGUGGUGAUGGGAAAGGGCAUGGUUGAGAAGAGAUAAUAAAAAGGGCUAAGAAGGCA
rnacentral:lncRNA from 1 species